GGGAGUAUGGUGUAGUCUGGUCUAUCAUCGGGGACUCCAAGUGCCUAUAUGGCCUUCUUAGAAAUCUAAGAAUUUUUAAGGCGCGCAAACACCAGUUUGUUGCGUGGACUAAAGCCCGAUGCAGGAGAAAUCCCUGGACCUGGGUUCAAAUCCCAGUACUUCCA
rfam:Methanococcus maripaludis strain S2, complete sequence.